rnacentral:rRNA from 1 species
AGGGUUCGAUCAUGGCUCAGAACGUACGCUGGCGGCACGCCUAACACAUGCAAGUCGAACGGAGUAGCAAUACUUAGUGGCAGACGGGUGAGUAACAUGUAGGUAUCUGCCCUUUGGCCUGGAAUAACACGAGGAAACUUGUGCUAAUACCGGAUAAGUCUUUACGGAGAAAGCUUUAUGCACCAUUGGAUGAGCCUGCACUUGAUUAGUUUGUUGGUGGGGUAAUGGCCUACCAAGACUUUGAUCAAUAGCUGAUUUGAGAGGAUGAUCAGCCACAUUGGGACUGAGACACGGCCCAAACUCCUACGGGAGGCAGCAGUGGGGAAUCUUGCACAAUGGAGGAAACUCUGAUGCAGCGAUGCCGCGUGAGUGAAGAAGGCCCUUGGGUUGUAAAGCUCUUUCGUCGGGGAAGAAAAUGACUGUACCCGAAUAAGAAGGUCCGGCUAACUUCGUGCCAGCAGCCGCGGUAAUACGAAGGGACCUAGCGUAGUUCGGAAUUACUGGGCUUAAAGAGUUCGUAGGUGGUUGAAAAAGUUGGUGGUGAAAUCCCAGAGCUUAACUCUGGAACUGCCAUCAAAACUUUUCAGCUAGAGUUUGAUAGAGGAAAGUAGAAUUUCUAGUGUAGAGGUGAAAUUCGUAGAUAUUAGAAAGAAUACCAAUUGCGAAGGCAGCUUUCUGGAUCAUUACUGACACUGAGGAACGAAAGCAUGGGUAGCGAAGAGGAUUAGAUACCCUCGUAGUCCAUGCCGUAAACGAUGUGUGUUAGACGUUGGAAAUUUAUUUUCAGUGUCGCAGCGAAAGCAAUAAACACACCGCCUGGGGAGUACGACCGCAAGGUUAAAACUCAAAUGAAUUGACGGGGACCCGCACAAGUAGUGGAGCAUGUGGUUUAAUUCGAAGAUACGCGCAGAACCUUACCAACACUUGACAUGUUCGUCGCGACUCUAAGAGAUUAGAGUUUUCGGUUCGGCCGGACGAAACACAGGUGCUGCAUGGCUGUCGUCAGCUCGUGUCGUGAGAUGUUGGGUUAAGUCCCGCAACGAGCGCAACCCUCACUUUUAGUUGCCAUCAUUUAGUUGGGCACUCUGAAAGAACUGCCAGUGAUAAGCUGGAGGAAGGUGGGGAUGACGUCAAGUCCUCAUGGCCCUUACGUGUUGGGCUACACACGUGCUACAAUGGUAUCUACAACAGGAAGCAAGACGGCGACGUUAAGCAAAUCCUUAAAAGAUACCUCAGUUCGGAUUGCACUCUGCAACUCGAGUGCAUGAAGCUGGAAUUACUAGUAAUCGUGGAUCAGCGUGCCACGGUGAAUGCGUUCCCGGGUCUUGUACACACCGCCCGUCACACCAUGGGAGUUGGUUCUACCUUAAGGCAAGGUUUAAAACCCUUGACCACGGUAUAGUCAGCGACUGGGGUGAAGUCGUAACAAGGUAGCCA